AAUCUUUACUUGACUCAACCCAUACCUAAUAAUUAAUUUAAUUAUUUUGUAAAUAUUAUUACACAGUUGUGUGAGGAUAAAUAAUAAACAAAUUGAAGAAACUUCAAACAGCCAGCACUUGCAAAAGCUGGUUUGAUAUGGUAGAUAAUAGCAGAGAACUUAAUCUCAUUCUUUUUCUUAUAUAUUUCGAUAUUUAUUCUUUAAAUGUUUAUGCUUAUGAUUCUUUGUUAACUGACAUUGUUAAUUAGUAUUUAGGCCAAUAUGCUUGCCCUGUUUGUUAAUUAGUAAUUGGUAGUUAGGCCAUCAUAGCACCAUGACUCACUGAGUUAACUGAUCACUGAGUCAAAGUGUUUUCUUUUAAAUUUGGAGUUGGGUUCAAAGAGUAAAAGACCCCAUUGCUGCCAAUGGUAGCAAUUAGCAUUUAUAGCUGCACGGUGGACACCAAAACAGAGAGUCACUUUUAGAAAAGGUAAAACACCUUUAGCAUUUAGGUGAGGCUGGAUGUAGAGGACAUUGAAGCUUCUGUCAAAGCUCUUUAUCUAUGCAUUUAGUAAUCAGAUGUCCACAUUUUAUGUAAAUUCCAUGCCCACAAUAUGCUCGACUAUUUGACUGAUACUUUUUUUUCUUUCUUUCUCUAUAAAGCUUAUGCUAGAGCAGAGUAGGCACUAGCUCAAAUAAAUAAUGAGUUCAAUUCAGCUAUUGCACAUUGAGCACACAUGCCAUUUUGAGCUGGUUUGAUGGAGAAAUCAGAGAAUAUUACCCUGUACAAAUUUGAUACCUGGUCUGUUUUUCAUCACCGAAUCCCCCGGUGGCUGGUGAGUCUUAUUAGUAAACACCUUAACAAGUGCUGGGAUUCGGUGUCUAGGCCAAAAUGGGUAUGACGGACGAGUUCGAAUCUUCUUUGCAAGUACUACAGGGAUUUGAUACUGACAUUUCUUUUAAAGUGAAUGAAAUCAAGAUUUCAUGUGUAUACAAAUCCAACCCAUUCAAAGGUGAUCGAGACUAUGGUAAUCAUACUCCAAAACUUCUAUAUUCAUAUACUCAUCAGGUGGGCCAUUCA